rnacentral:lncRNA from 1 species
GUUGCUUUUAAUGAUUUGCGUCAUUCAAAAGAAAAGUGUAUUUGUUUAGCGAGUUAUUUUCAAGUUUGUUUAGCGAGUUUUAGUGAGUUUUCUUCUUAGUUCAGCUUAGUGAAACUUUUUAGUUUGUUGAGUGCAACAGUGGUUGUUUAGUAUUUAAAGACAAAUUAUAAACAGGGUGGCAGUAGGUGACAUAAAAUAUUAAAAAUUUUAUCAGGGAUUAUUUAUUUGACAUAUAAAUCUCAAAAAUGCCAAUAAGUCGACGAACCAACUUGAGUCGUAGAACGCGAAAUGCUGCAAGCCAACAACAUAUACGGGCAAGUCAAACCAACGAGCAACGCGAGAUGCGAAAUGAAGUUGAAAGGAAUAGAUGGAAUAGGAAUAACCAAGAACGUAGAAACGUUCCGUUCAGGUUUAAUCCAAAUCGAGCUGCAUUUAGUUACGAUGCAGCAAUCGAUUAUAGUUCGCAGCAAAUCGUUGCUAUUGGACAAAUGAACGUUGUGUGUCUAUAUUGCAAGUCAAUGAACUUUAAAAAUGAAGCAUUUGGAUUGUGUUGUGCAAGUGGUCAAGUCAAAUUGACACCAUUGGUACCGCCUCCAGACCCACUAUAUUCAUUAGUUUCCGGAAAUCAUCCAGAUUCAAAAAUUUUUUUAAAUAAUAUCCAGCAAUAUAAUAAUUGCUUUCAAAUGACGUCAUUUGGAGCAACACAAAUUUGUAGAGAUAAUUUUAUGCCUACUUUUAAGGUAAGUAUAUAAGAUAUUAUAUCUGGAAUCAAUCGUUAAAGAAAUUUCAACGAAGAAAACAAGGUCAGCCCGUUCCAGGUUACCCACAAGUAUUUUCCACCGAUGCACUAGGACGUCUUUACACAAUUCAUCCCAACCAAGACGAGUGUUUUUAUUUGUGUUUACUGUUAAUCAAUGUUCGUGGACCAACAUCAUUCCAACAUCUGCGAACUAUUAAUGGUGUAUUAUGCGGCACAUACAGAGAAGCCUGUCAACUUAUGGGAUUGCUAGAAAAUGAUACUCAUUGGCACCACACUCUGGAAGAUGCUGUAGUUUCAUCAAAUGCUAAACAAAUACGAACAUUGUUUUCUAUAAUUUUGUCUACAUGCUUCCCAUCAACGCCAAUUGAUCUGUGGAACAAAUAUAACUAUCAUAUGGCCGAAGAUAUAUUGCAUCAGAUGCGAUCGAUAGGACAUCGAAUGCAGAUUUGCAAAUGAACGAAGAAAUUAAAAAUGAAGCAUUCAUUUUAAUUGAGGACAUGUGCUUGAUGCUUACCAACAAAAGAUUAAUACAAUUAGGAAUGAUAGGUCCCAAUCGCCCAAUGCACGACGCAUUUAAUCAAGAGUUAAGACGCGAAACCGAAUAUGUUUCUGAGGCAUUGAUGGAAAUAGUUCAACGAAACGUUCCCUUAUUAAAUCAACAACAAAAACAUGCCUAUUAUACGCUGAUGAGAGUAGUCAACGAUGAAACUGGGGGACUGUUUUUCUUAGAUGCUCCUGGUGGAACUGGAAAAACGUUUUUAAUCUCAUUAAUUUUGGCAGCGAUUCGAUCGCAAAAUGGAAUUGCACUCGCUUCAUCAGGUAUUGCAGCUACGUUGUUAGAAGGCGGUCGAACAGCUCAUUCAGGACUCAAGUUGCCGUUAAACAUGCAAAUUAUCGAAACUCCAACUUGCAACAUUUCGAGGAAUUGUGCGAUGGCCAAAGUCUUACACCAAAGCAAAUUAAUCGUUUGGGAUGAGUGCACAAUGGCAAACAAAAAAAAAUUCUGGAUGCAUUAGACCGCACAAUGCAAGAUUUACGACACAACCAGAACCGGUUUGGUGGUGCGAUGAUUCUAUUGGCAGGUGAUUUUCGAAAAACAUUGCCGGUAAUGCCACGAUCAACACCAGCCUGCAUGUUUGAAGUCGUCAAAUUUAUGGAAGUAUGUCAAAACACUUAAAUUAAAUAUAAACAUGCGAGUCGAAUUGCAGAACGAUCAAUCUGGAGAAGCUUUUUCAAAACAAUUGCUUGAUAUUGGUAAUGGCAAAAUUCCAGUAGACACAUCGUCGGGAUACAUUAACUUCCCUCCCAAUUUUUGUAACUUUGUUGAAUCAAAAACCGAACUUAUCGAGGAGGUGUUCCCAAAUAUUGUUCAAAAUUAUAAAAACCACGAUUGGUUAAGCGAACGAGUUAUAUUGGCUGCGAAAAACAUUGAUGUCAACGAAAUAAAUUUUGAAAUUCAAAAUAAGAUUGCAGGCGAUCUUAUGACUUAUAAAUCCAUUGAUUCCGUUACCAACCAAGAUGACGUCGUUAACUAUCCAACCGAAUUUUUAAAUUCGCUGGAAAUACCCGGACUUCCACCUCAUAAUCUGCAAUUAAGAGUCGGAUCGGUUAUUAUUAUGUUGCGGAACAUAAUAAUGUUUCGCAAAUGUGCGUUGCAGUCAUCGAAGCAACCAUUUUGAAAGGGAAGUACAAAGGCGAAGACGUUUUAAUUCCACGCAUCCCCAUGAUUCCGAACGACAUGCCAUUCGAUUUUAAGUGGAUGCAAUUUCCUGUGCGACUUGCAUUUGCAAUGACGAUAAAUAAAGCGCAAGGGCAGUCAUUGAAUGUUUGUGGCAUAAAUUUAGAAAAUCCAUGUUUUUCACAUGGUCAAUUGUAUGUGGCCUGCUCCCGUCUUGGAAAACCUUCCACAUUAUUUAUUUUCGCUCCAGGAAAGAAAACUAACAAUGUUGUGUAUCAAAAAGCGUUACAAUAAAUAUUUACUAGCUUUUUGUAAUA